rnacentral:rRNA from 1 species
AUUGAACGCUGGCGGCAUGCCUUACACAUGCAAGUCGAACGGCAGCGGGCCUUCGGGUGCCGGCGAGUGGCGAACGGUGAGUAAUGCAUCGGAACGUGCCAUUGAGUGGGGGAUAACGUAGCGAAAGUUACGCUAAUACCGCAUAUUCUGUGAGCAGGAAAGCAGGGGACCGCAAGGCCUUGCGCCCUUUGAGCGGCCGAUGUCAGAUUAGCUAGUUGGUGAGGUAAAGGCUUACCAAGGCGACGAUCUGUAGCGGGUCUGAGAGGAUGAUCCGCCACACUGGAACUGAGACACGGUCCAGACUCCUACGGGAGGCAGCAGUGGGGAAUUUUGGACAAUGGGCGCAAGCCUGAUCCAGCCAUGCCGCGUGAGUGAAGAAGGCCUUCGGGUUGU